UUAUUAGUAAUGUAUAGGAGUAGUAACUUUAAAACUUUUCUACAGAGAACUAGGGUUGGUGGAACCUAGUGUUAAGUUAAAGUGAACUUACCAGGACUUAAAGAUAAUUUAUGACAUCUCUUACUAUUAGUUAAAAUGAGUGCACAUUUAAUGUGAAUUUGGGUGGUACCGCGGCGAAAGUCGUCCCUUUG
rnacentral:ncRNA from 1 species